UGCGGAUUUAUCGUUUCAAACUUUCCAUCCUGAUCUGAAGCGAUGAUUACUCCCCCCCAGUUUUGGGUUUGCCCCAUGAUCGCGCACGUGUUUGUUAACCCCCCGCCCUAGCCAGCAGCCGGCUCCGGCGGGCAGUGAAAACCGCCCGCAGCCGCAGGAAGGGAAUUAGGGAAAGGGAGCCAGGUAAACUUCGGUGCCGCCGGUUUGGCCCAUCGAGCUGCUGCGCCCGCUGGCAGCCGGCCGGUGGAAAGAGCCGGGGCUGCUGCAGCACCAGGAGGCGGCGGCGGCCCCCGUGCGCAUCCCGCGGCGAGGGCGGGCGCAGCUUCCUCCCCACCCGGGGCUGGAUUGAAGCGGCCGACACCCAGCGGACUCUGCUGCUCUUGCUCCCGCAGCCUCCGCCAAAGCAGGAGCCGCGGGGGAGUGAAGGCGGGAGGAAGAGGAUGGAGCCGCGGGCUGCUGCUGGGGACAAGCCCAGCGAGCCCGAGCCGGCGGCUUCCUUCCAGGCCUGGCUCUGGAAGAGCCUGCAGCUGGGCAGCAAAGCCAGGAGCGGCAGGUCCGGCGCGGAGCGCCGCACUGCGGAGCCCCAGCCCCCCGCCGCGCCUCCUGCGGGCAGCAGCAAGGGGGACCCGCUGCCCGGCGCCAGGUGGAGCGGCUUCAAGAGGCGGAAGCAGGUGCUGGACCGCGUCUUCUCCUCCUCGCAGCCCAACCUGUGCUGCUCCUCGGCCGAGCCGCUGGAGCCGGGCGGCGAGCCCGCCUCCGCCCUGCGCCGCCUCCGCGAGCACCUGCUCCACCAGGGCAAGGGGCAGCAGCCGCCCGGCCGCCCUGCCGGCUCUCCCAUCUCCUCCUCGCUCUCCUCCUCCCCGCUGCCCCCCGCUGCCCCAGCCCGCGCGGACAAGGCAGGAGGGGAGGAGGGACGCCGCCCCGCAGCACACCUGUCCCACCAGAAGAGCUCCUCUCUGCCCGGCACCACCUGCCUGGAGCAGCUACUGCAGGGCGAGCCCAGCGCCGCGCGGAGCGAGGACGAGGGAGCCGAGGGCAGCGCGAGAACCAAUACAACUGGAACUAGUAAUGCAGAUUUUCCCUUGGGUGAUCCCGGAAUGUACCAGUUGGACAUUACAUUAAAAAGGGGUCAAAAUUUAGCAGCGCGGGAUCGUGGAGGGACCAGCGAUCCAUACGUCAAGUUUAAAAUUGGAGGAAAAGAAGUGUUUAGAAGUAAAACUAUACACAAGAAUCUCAAUCCUGUGUGGAGGAAAAAACUGCAUUCUUAUGAUCACCCUCGGGAACCAUUGUAUAUAAAGGUCUUUGAUUAUGAUUUUGGACUUCAGGAUGACUUUAUUGGAUCAGCUUUUUUGGAUCUCACGUCACUAGAAUUAAACAGACCAACAGAUAUCAACUUGCCUCUGAAGGAUCCUCACUACCCUGACCAUGAUCUGGGAACUAUAUUAUUAUCAGUUCUACUGGCUCCCAAAGAGGAACAGAGGGAAGUGACCAUGCUAAUGAGGAAGAGUUGGAAAAGAUCAAGUAAGUUUCAGCCCCAGAGUUUACGCCUGUCAGACAUGCACAGAAAAUCUCAGCUCUGGAGAGGAAUAGUCAGUAUCACUUUGAUAGAGGGAUGUGAACUGAAGGCCAUGGAUGCAAAUGGAUUGAGUGAUCCCUAUGUGAAGUUCCGGCUGGGCCAUCAGAAGUACAAGAGUAAGAUUGUGCCAAAAACUUUAAAUCCUCAGUGGAGGGAGCAAUUUGACUUUCAUCUCUAUGAAGAGCGAGGUGGAAUUAUUGAUAUUACUGUGUGGGACAAAGAUGCUGGCAAAAGAGAUGAUUUUAUUGGCAGGUGUCAGGUUGACCUGUCGGCCCUGAGUAGAGAACAAACUCACAAGCUGGAGUUGCAGCUGGAGGAAGGAGAAGGAUGGUUGGUACUGCUGGUCACCCUGACAGCAUCAGCUGCAGUCAGUAUCUCUGACCUCUCUGUCAACUCCUUGGAGGACCAGAAAGAGAGAGAGGAAAUACUAAAGAGAUAUAGCACAAUGAGGAUGUUUCACAACAUGAAGGAUGUAGGAUUUCUACAGGUGAAGGUCAUCAGAGCAGAAGCAUUGAUGGCAGCUGAUGUCACAGGUAAAAGUGACCCAUUUUGCGUAGUUGAGUUGAACAAUGACAGACUGCUGACACAUACAGUCUACAAGAAUCUCAACCCUGAAUGGAACAAAGUCUUCACAUUCAAUAUUAAAGAUAUCCACUCAGUUCUUGAAGUGACAGUUUAUGACGAAGAUAGAGAUCGGAGUGCUGACUUUCUGGGCAAAGUUGCGAUACCAUUGCUGUCUAUUCAAAAUGGUGAACAGAAAGCCUACGUCUUGAAAAACAAGCAGCUGACAGGGCCAACAAAGGGGGUCAUCUAUCUUGAAAUAGAUGUGAUUUUUAAUGCUGUGAAAGCCAGCAUACGAACAUUAAUGCCCAAAGAACAGAAGUACAUCGAAGAGGAAAACAGACUGUCUAAACAGCUGCUAUUAAGGAACUUUAUCCGCAUGAAGCGAUGUGUCAUGGUGCUCAUAAAUGCUGCCUACUAUGUUAACAGUUGCUUUGACUGGGAUUCACCCCAAAGGAGUCUGGCUGCUUUUGUGCUUUUUCUUUUUGUGGUUUGGAACUUUGAGCUCUACAUGAUUCCGCUUGCUUUGUUGUUACUGUUGGCAUGGAACUAUUUCUUGAUACUAUCAGGGAAAGAUAACACGCAACAUGAUACAGUAGUGGAGGACAUGCUAGAGGACGAGGAAGAAGAGGAUGACAGAGAUGACAAGGAUAGUGAAAAAAAAGGAUUUAUGAAUAAACUCUAUGCCAUCCAGGAGGUGUGUGUCAGUGUCCAGAAUGUCCUUGAUGAAGUGGCUUCCUUUGGAGAAAGGAUAAAGAAUACAUUCAACUGGACUGUCCCAUUCUUAAGCUGGCUGGCAAUUGUUGCCCUCUGUGUGUUCACAGUCAUCCUGUAUUUCAUUCCACUGAGAUACAUUGUCCUUGUCUGGGUUUUGGAGCACCUCACUACAGCACCACUCAGCAGCUCAAACCAUGGUGAGUGUUCCGUUGCACUGAAGCUUUGAUUAUUUGGCACCCCUCUCUGGAUACGGGUAUAAGGAAAGUGCAGUGAAUAAUGGCACUAUUUUCACAGACAGUGGUGACUUUUUUUGGCUGAUAUCUCACUGCUGAGGAUGAAAAAGGCAUAGAGAACCCAGCUGCAAUUGACGUCCCAAAGCCACCUUGUCCUGUAUGCUGCUAGCCUAUUUACUGCAGCAGUGCCAGCCAAACUUAUUGCAGAGUGGUGUGGGAAGGGUCUCCUAUUGUGGGGGAAGAAACAAGGAUGUGCUCCGUAGGAAUUUUCAGAAGAGGAUUGUAGAAUAUCUCCAUGAAAGUUUCAUUAACAUCUCUCAUGAGAGUAGAAGAAACAUCCCUAUUCCGAUAAACAAUUUAUUCUGCAUGGCCCCCUCCUGCCUGCCUCAACAAGUGAAAGAAUUGAAAAGCAGACCUGAGAACAGGAACUGGUCUAAUGUAAAUUGUGUAAUUGGAGUACCAUACUACCUUACCUGAGCUCCCUUCCUCUUCAUCAGCACAUCUGCACUCACCUGGGAUUGGCUUGACUCCAAGAGAGUUUCAAACAGAUCCUUCCUCACAGUAUGGUCCCUGCCACAUCUCCUCCCCGCCCCGUUUUUUGUGGAAGAAAGACUUCAAUAUUGAUGCAAAAAUUACAUUAAUAAAUUUAUUUCAACUUAAUUUCGUAAGUCAUUACAAACUUGUUUGCACCUUUACUAAAUAUUAAGAUAUAGCUUUAGGAAGGUUAUAGUCAGGAUGUUUGGAAAUACAUAUGUUUGGCUAGUUAUGUUACAAAAUGUUAAAGCUAAUCAAAGAAAUUCCAGGUUUCUGUUUUUAUUUCCCACGGACAAACAAACAUCAAGAAAUAAACUAUGUAAACUUUGAUGUUUUAGGAAGAACCAUGAUUGUGAAAGGAAUGUAAGGGUGUGUUAUCAGAGCAAUAAGUUUAGGUAAAGUGUGCUCUACCAACCCCCAUACUCUUGCAAGAAAAUCUGCUUGUGUUCUUAAACACUUUAGAGAAAAACAUGUUUAGUUGGAGAUGUUUUAAACUUUUGUUUAUUUCUUAAAUGUUGAAAUGACAAACACGUCUGUGAAAUGCAGACUUCCAAAUACGUUAACUAAAUGAAAACUUCCUAAUGUAGCUCCUGAUGUCAUUGCUGUGUAAAUGGUUUAUGUACCAACAUGGAAUCUAAUGCCCUUGCUCAACUAGUGUGAGAAGCCAUUUAAGUAUAGGAUAUUCAUAUUAAUGGGAAAUUAAUUUCUGGCAGUGCACAAGCAAACCCUCAACCUACUCCGGAACAGAAGUAUCAAAUCUCCAAAGUCAUCAACACUUAAUUAUUUAAGCUCAAGACUAUUUGAAUUAUUUAAUUUAAAAAACUGUUUUAAGAACAGGAAUGUUUUGGACAAUUGGAAAAAUAUAUUUUCAGUUUUAUCUUUUAAUAUCUUAGAAAAUGGACUGAACAAAAAGAAAAUUUUAAUUUUAAAAGACAUCUGGAUCUUUCCAUCCCCAAGAACAAAGGCAGUUAAAGAAAUGCUGCAUACUCAUUAAACAGACUGCAUAUUCAAGAGCUGAAAGUAUCACCUAAGCCAACCCUGAAAGGGUGACAGCAAUCAACUUUAAAUCUAAAAACCUCAAAAGGUUUCCUAUAAUUUCUUGAAAAUAGGAAGGAGAAGGGUGUAAAAACUCUGAAGUGAGCACCUCACACAUGCAUCAAGCCUCCUGACCCUGACCCUCGCUACUCUGCUUAGACAGCAAGCACCUCACAACCCAUCCUAUCCAUCCCGCAAGCUGACACAGACAGAUAGGAAAAACACAGAAGACUCAAGAAGAAACCAAGGAAACCUCCCCAAAACAUCAACCUAGUUUGGGGAGAGAAAGUUAACUAAGACACUGCCAAGACCCUUGUAAUGAUUUUAUUGGUAUGUUAUAAUGCUGUUGUAACUUAAAAUAUUAACUUUCUCCUGUUAAUCAUCAGAUGGUUAAAUCAUGACUUCCUGGAGAGGAGAUGGGCUAAACAUUGGCAAACAGAGAAAUAGUGGAUUUUAAUUGGAUUUAGGAUUCUUAAUAUUGGUUAACUGGCCUGAAAUGGCUUCUACUAGGUAACUAAUUUAAAUAUUUUCUUCGAUUUCAUAGGAUUAAUUAAGAUUGCUUACUUUCUCCAAUUAUAAACUGUUUUUGGUUAUUUAUUAAUAACCAACAAAAUCCACUUGGCCUUAAGCUGUUUAUGUAGAGGCAACAAUAAUUGGUUGAAGUAUCUAAUACGAUGCUAAAGUGCAUUCACAAUAAUUCUGGGAAACAAUAUACUUUGGUCUUAACUUACUAAGAGAAAAGCAGCCCCUGGACUGGUUCACUCUCCAGGGUGUAAUCUCUUUUAAAGCUCUCCACAGAGAGAGAGACAAGAGAUUGUAAUGGAUGUCACCAGUGAUUUACUUGUGUUGUUUUCUUUUCCUUUAAUAAUAAAAUGAUUAAUAAUUGUGAUUAUUUUUCUUUGCCUUAAUCAUGGUGUCCCCUAAAGUAAAAGACCCCCCAUGACUAAAUAGUGGGAGCUAUACCCGUGGGUUGGCAGCCAGAGAAAUAAUUAGUAAGAGUUGGCCUACCGCUUCCUGUUUCUCUCAGCUAAAUAGUUUUAGUAAUUUUUAAAAUUAAAUUACAUUGUGUCCAACAAUUUAAAAUGACCCCUUUCCAGUCCACAUCUGCCCUCUCAUCACUGUUCACAGCAGGGGGGUCUCGUCUUCAGGCUCCAGCAAAGCAUUCACAGUGCUCUGUAGAGUGUCGGUGGGUCACCAGUGAGUAUGGCAUGGUUUGUUGUUAAACGGCAGGUCUGGGGGCAACACCAGAUUUAUUUCAGAGUAGCAGCCGUGUUAGUCUGUAUCCUCAAAAAGAAAAAAAGAGUACUUGUGGCACCUUGGAGACUAACAAAUUUAUUUAAUUAAAUGAGUCUCAUAAAUUUGUUAGUCUCUAAGGUGCCACAAGUACUCCUUAUCUUUUUACCAGAUUUAUUGUUGCCCUCCCUUGCCUUCUGGUAUCCCAGGCAAAGUUCCUUUAUUGUCAGGUGCCACUUCGGCUCAUCCCUCUCUUGCCCCGUUUCAGCAUCCCCUGUGCAAUCUGCACAUAGCUGUCAAUAUUUCUGCGGCUGUUCCAUAGCUGUGCUUGCACAGCCUCUUCUCCCCACACAAGUAGAUCCAGAACUUCUUGCCUGCUCUCAGCAGGAGUGCUUCUAGUGCCUCUGAAGCUGGCCAGGUCUGAUGCACACAACAAAGGUGAGCUGGUAGGUGUUUCUCAAGGGGGAGGCAGUUAGGAAAAGGAAUUUCAAAAGCAUACAGAUUUUAAAGGAGGGGUGAGGAGGUGGUGGGCAGCUUUGGGUCUCUAUGACCUCUUGGCUGUGGAGUUUGUGACCAGAGUGGCCACUGUUGCAGGAGUAGGGACACUGUGGAACAGCUACUGGAGGGCAGUUAGAGUUGACAUAGGAAAUGCAGUGUUUACACUUGCACUCUCACCCUAAGUAGGUCAACUGUGUCACUUGGGGAGAUGGUAUCAUUGUGUCACUGUAAUGGUGUGCAUAUGCUGGCAGGAGACAAAUUUUGGUGUAGACACAUGCCACAACUAGGUCGAUGCAAAUCAACCUAUGGUGCCCUAACUUUGUAAUAUAGACCAGGCCUGAGUAUAUAGUGCAUUAAGUUAAUGCUAAAAAUGUAUCUUAAAAUCUUUGUCAGAAGUUUUCCAGAAAUGUGUUUUUAAUAACUGGUGAUAUAAAAACUCCAGAGAUUUUAAUAACGUUUGAACUAUCACUUUUCCAGGCAUCAAUAAAUUUACAAAGAAACUUCGCAGUCCAUAUGCAAUUGAUAACAAUGAGCUACUUGACUUCCUUUCCAGAGUUCCCUCAGAUGUACAAGUGGUGCACUACCAAGAACUGAAACAAGAUCCCAGUCACAGCCCAAAUAAGAGAA